GGGGGCCACGCCACCUAUGAGCGGUGAGCAGCUGGCGAGGCGAGGUGAGGCCCCGAAUGUCCAGAAGCAUGAGUAUUUAUUGUGUAUAGGUUAGGGGGGCAGGGCAGUGAGUGAAAUCAUCUCUAAGGAUAGUGAUAGGGUCGUGAGCAAUAAAACAUAGGGUUCACCCCCAUUAGGUCACCUAGGCCAGGAGGUGGACAAUGCACAGCAAGGGGCCCAUUCCCACGAAGGCAAGGGCCCUGCACAGUAAGGGGUCCACCCCCAUUAGGUCACUGAGACUUGAAGGUGGGCCGUGCGCAGUGAGGAGCGUGCAGUGUGCAAUACUUCUAUCUAUG